rnacentral:rRNA from 1 species
ACUCCUACGGGAGGCAGCAGUAGGGAAUCUUCCACAAUGGGCGCAAGCCUGAUGGAGCAACACCGCGUGAGUGAAGAAGGGUUUCGGCUCGUAAAGCUCUGUUGUUAAAGAAGAACACGUAUGAGAGUAACUGUUCAUACGUUGACGGUAUUUAACCAGAAAGUCACGGCUAACUACGUGCCAGCAGCCGCGGUAAUACGUAGGUGGCAAGCGUUAUCCGGAUUUAUUGGGCGUAAAGAGAGUGCAGGCGGUUUUCUAAGUCUGAUGUGAAAGCCUUCGGCUUAACCGGAGAAGUGCAUCGGAAACUGGAUAACUUGAGUGCAGAAGAGGGUAGUGGAACUCCAUGUGUAGCGGUGGAAUGCGUAGAUAUAUGGAAGAACACCAGUGGCGAAGGCGGCUACCUGGUCUGCAACUGACGCUGAGACUCGAAAGCAUGGGG